GUCCCUGGGGUCUCUUUGGGGGUGUCUCUGUGGGGAUCCCUUUGGGGGUCUCUUUGGGGGUGUCCCUUUGGGGGUCUCUUUGGGGGUGUCUCUGUGGGGGUCUCUCUGGGGGGUGUCUCUGUGGGGGUCCCUUUGUGGGUCUCUUUUGGGGUAUCUCUGUGGGGGUCCCUUUGGGGGGGUCCCUGGGGUCUCUCUGGGGGGUGUCUCUGUGGGGUCCCCCCCUGUCUGACCCCUCCCCCGCAGGUGCCGCGCGCGCGCGGCCCCGCGGCGCCCCCUGCUGGCGCUGUGCCUGGGCGGGGCCGCGGCCUUGGCGCUGCUGCUGCUGCUAUUGGCCAGCCUGGGAGGGGGCGGGGCCGACUCCGACCCCGCCCUCGAGCCGCUCAACAACCCCCACGUGCGGGUGGGGCCCUGACCCCGCCCCCGGGGGCGGGGCUAAGGGAGGCGGGGCUAAUAAAGGGCGCCCCCCUGUGGAGAUGGAGGCACGGUGUCCGUGUGACUCUUGGGGGGCACCAGUUCAGUUCACCCCAGUUCCCUCCCAUUCCCCCCCAGUUCACCCCAGUUCCCCCCAGUCCCUCCCAGUUCCCUCCCAGUCCCCCCCAGUUCACCCCAGUUCACCCCAGUCCCACCCAGUUCCCUCCCAGUGCCCCCCAGUUCACCCCAGUCCCUCCCAGUUCCCUCCCAGUUCCCUCCCAGUCCCUCCCAGUUCACCCCAGUUCCCCCCAGUUCCUCCCAGUUCCUCCCAGUCCCUCCCAGUUCCCUCCCAGUUCCCUCCCAGUCCCCCCCAGUCCCUCCCAGUCCCUCCCAGUCCCGCACGCCGCACUGCUCAGCGCUGACUUUCGUUCUUUGCCCCCAAACCGGGGGUCCCAGACGGUUCUUUGGGGGUUCCUGGGGAUUCUUUGGGGGAUCCCUUCGGGAACUUGGAGCGCCCAGGGAAGAAAUUUUGGGGUCCCAGGCAGGGCGAGGGUCAGCCCAGGGAGGUUUUGGGGUUCCCUGGGGCCAUCCCAGGGGGGCUUGGGGCCCUUCGGGGGUCCCGGGGGGUUCUCCAGGGGGUCUUGGGGAGGGUUGUUAAGGACCUGGGGGGGAACUGGGGCUCCCGGGGGGGCGUUUGGGGGGUCCCAGGGCACAUCUGGGGCUCCCGGGGGGCGUUUGGAGGGUCCCAGGGCACAUCUGGGGCUCCCGAGGGGCGUUUGGAGGGUCUCCAGUGGAGGUUUUGGGGGUCCCAGGGCACAUCUGGGGCUCGCAGGGGGCGUUUGGGGGUCCCCAGUGGAGGUUUUGGGGGGGUCCCCCCCUAAAACGGGUGGGCCCCCAAGGCCAGGUGGAGGCGGAGCAAAGCCAGGCCACGCCCAGCGGGAGGGGGCGGGUCCCAAGCGCGGGGGGGAGGGGUCUCGGUGGUGGGGGGCGGGGCCCGGGGCGGGGGGCGGGGCCCCGGCCGGAGCAGCUCCACCUCCAGCAGCAGCUGCCGCGGGCCCGCCAGGGGGCGCAGCAGCUCCAGCAGCGAGCUGUGAU
rnacentral:lncRNA from 1 species